rnacentral:rRNA from 1 species
GCCAGCAGCCCUAUCACCUUGCAGCUCACAGCUGGCAGCCCCACUGGAGCUCAGCAGGUGUGAGCCUGGCCAGUACCUGGAUGCGAGACCUCCUGGGAAAAGCUAAGGUUGCUGCUGGUG